GACGGAGGGGGCAAGCGUUGUCCGGACUCACUGGGCGUAAAGCGCACGUAGGUGGUCCGGUGCGUCGGUGCUGAAAGCGCCAGGCUUAACCUGGCGAGGCGUGCCGAUACGACCGAACUUGAGGCAGAGAGAGGGUAGCGGAAUUCCGGGUGUAGUGGUGAAAUGCGUAGAGAUCCGGAGGAACGCCAGAGACGAAGGUGGCUACCUGGCUCUGACCUGACACUGAGGUGCGAAAGCGUGGGGAG
rnacentral:rRNA from 1 species